AAAAGCUCGUAGUCGGAUUUCAGUUUUGAGUCGGUUGUUGAUAUAUGAUACGACCUACUUUUACUUCUUUGAUAGAAACAUUCAUGUUAUUCAUUUAGCGUGUUUUGCGACUGUCUCUUUUACUUUGAGAAAAUUAGAGUGUUCAAAGCAGGUUUUCGCCUGAAUAUUACUCUUGGAAUAAUAAUAUAGGACUUUGGUUCUAAUUUGUUGGUGAUUGGGACCAGAGUAAUGAUUGAUAGGGACGGUUGGGGUCAUUCGUACUAUAAAGCGAGAGGUGAAAUUCUUGGACCUUUGUAUGACGAACAACUGCGAAAGCAUUUGGCUAGGACGUUCCCGUUGAUCAAGAACGAAAGUUGGGGGAUCGAAGACGAUCAGAUACCGUCGUAGUCUUAACCAUAAACUAUGCCAGCUAGGGAUCGGAGGAAGUUUUACAAUCGACUCCUUCGGCACCUUAUGAGAAAUCAAAGCAUUUGGGUUCCGGGGGGAGUAUGGUCGCAAGGCUGAAACUUAAAGGAAUUGACGGGAGGGCACCACCAGGAGUGGAGCCUGUGGCUUAAUUUGACUCAACACUGAAAACUUUACCAGGUCCAGACAUAGGCAAGAUUGACAGAUUGUUAGAUUUU
rnacentral:rRNA from 1 species